rnacentral:rRNA from 1 species
AUGACCUUGGUGAAGGUAGUCCUUACGGCGGUGGCCAUUUAUCACAUCACGCCGCUCGACAUCCCGGUGGAGGUUAUAAAAGCGAUUGACAAGUUGCGGCGUGCCUACCUCUGGGCAGGGUCUGACUCGGUUAGUGGCGGCAAGUGCAAGAUUAAUUGGGAGCAUGUCUGCAAGCCAAAGGAGUAUGGGGGCCUUGGCAUUUUGCACCUUCGCAAAUUUGCUGCCGCCCUCCGGCUGAGGUGGCUAUGGCUUGAGUGGAAUGACCCACCUCGUGCGUGGUGUGGAUUGGGGACGCCUUGCACGACUUCCGAUCGCGACCUUUUCGCGGUCUUGACUGAGGUCAAGAUCGGCGAUGGACAGAAGGCUUCCUUCUGGGAAUCUUCUUGGCUUCAGGGCGUUAGGCCCAAAGAUAUUGCGCUAAAGAUUUUCGAUAUUUCAUGCAAGAAAGGUGUUACGGUUGCCACGGCCUUAAGGGAUGGGCACUGGAUAGCACAAAUCAACAUUGACGCUAGCCUCACUCUAGAACGCCUUCAACAAUUCUGCUUAUUUGGCGCAGUUUCAUGA